AAACGCUUGUAGGGCUUCACCAGGGCUGGUGAAUUACCAGAUCUCCGUCAAGUGCAGUAACCAGUUCAAGUUGGAAGUGUGUCUUUUGAAUGCAGAAAACAAAGUCGUGGACAACCAGGCUGGGACCCAGGGCCAGCUGAAGGUGCUGGGUGCCAACCUCUGGUGGCCGUACCUGAUGCACGAACACCCCGCCUACCUGUACUCGUGGGAGGAUGGUGAUUGCUCACACCAAAGCCUUGGACCCCUCCCAGCCUGUGACCUUUGGGACCAACUCCACCUACGCAGCAGACAAGGGG
rnacentral:lncRNA from 1 species